GAGGCUCUGCUGCUGGAGUGGCACUUCACCCCUGGACCACCAACACUUCUGAGAAGACUGACAUACUUCUGUUUGCUCCAUCUCCACCUAGACUAACAUCUGAGAGAGCCUGGACGCAAGCUUGAAGCUGCUGCAUGGACUGCGUGGUGCCAUGGUUAAACAACUGCUUGUGAUGCUGCCAUCCGCUGUGCAUCACAUACUCCUGUGAUCUGCACAUCUUACGCAUCAAGCUAAACCCUGCCCUGCCACUGAGUCUUUCCAAAUGCAGGUAGGGGUGCCAGCACUGUCAUCUCAUGAUAUGUUGCAAUGGAUCAUGAGGAAAGCUAAACAUAAUGGUAACCACCAAGAUCAAACCCUGAGACUGAGAAUAAGGAUUCAAGGUGCCUGCAACCAUUCGUUCACCCAUCACCAUCAAGAGGAUCUUACAGGAUUCCAAAGAUCAAUUUAUACUGGGCAAAUACUGCUCAGGGAAAGGAGCAGAGCUUCUUCUCUGAGGCCGGAAGACCAAGAGCUUGCAAUCCAUUCAAGAAUCUGCACAGCUCUUCUUAUCUAGAUGUCCUCAAAGAGGCCCUGGAUCAUUAGAUGUGACUGGCUCAGUCAGGGCAGCUGAGUCCAUGUUUUGGCAAUUAUGACCCAAUGCUGCUGUUACAUCUUCGUGCUGGUAUUUAUGUAAACAGAUGCUACCAAUAUCAAAUAUGGGUAAAUAUCAAAGUAUGAUUCCUUGUUUGUGUGAGAAGAGUAUGUUUCAUUUGGGACUGGCAUUCUGGUACAGUGUGUUAAGCUACCAUCCACAACAGUGGA